UUCAUGGAACAUGCUGUACAGAGUUUUACAGAACUGGAUAAAUUCUCUCUAGAAUUAAAGAAGGCCAUAGACAACAUCAUGAGAAUGGAGUGAGUGCUUAAAAGAAGAAUACAUAAAUUGGACAUAUCUGAGAAGCAAGGAUCAAUCAAAGUCUUAAGUCAUCAGCGCCCAAUCUUGGAAAGUUUGCACCUGUGAAGCUAAAUGCUUUAUAGACACAUAUAUAAAACAAACUCCUACGCAGACCCUGCUGAUAUUAACCUGAAAAACAGAUAAUACAGAAACUAUUUACAGUGGGCACAUCAUUAGUGUGUUUGGAUGGUGUAAGUGGGCGGGGCUGAGACUUCACAGCCCUGGCCUCCCUCUAAGAAACAGCCUCCCUGGCUCCAUAUGUGUUCUCCAUGCUCCUAUUAAACUGCUUUUCUACCAUCUUU